rnacentral:lncRNA from 1 species
GGUCCACCUGCCUCCUCUCCAGCCUGGCCCAGAAAGCACCUUUGAAAGCCGUUCCCCACUGGGCUCUCAGAAGCCGGCGUGAGCUGACUCCAGCACCUGUCCCUGCCAGCAGGGACGACUCCAGGAGGACUGCCAGGCCAAGACACAGAAAGGCCAUAGAGAGCACACAUCUGAAUGCGUCAACCCCGGCUGAAGCCCUUUCUGCCUCCUAAUCCUGGAACCUGUGACUCGGUUGCCUUACCUGGCAAAGUGAAUUAAGGCAUCAGGUGGAAUGAAAAUUGCUAAUCUACUGACCUUAACAUCAGGAGUUUAUUUUGGAUUAUCCUGGUAGGCCCAAAGUGAUCACCAAGAUCCUUAAAUGUGAAAGAGGAGGCGGAAGAGGAGCUCAGGGGAUGAGAUGUGAGAAGGCCUCCACGCCAGUGCUGCCUUUGAAGAGGGAGGAGGGGCCGAGGGUCAAGGCCUCAGGGCAGCUCUAGAAGCCGGGAAAGGCAAGAAGUGGACUCUCCCUAAACCCAGCCUCUGGGAGGAACCAGCCCUGCAGUACCUUGAUUUUAGCUCAAGGAGACCUGUGUUGGACUUCAAUCUCUAGACCUUUAAGAGAAUA